rnacentral:lncRNA from 1 species
UCUCGGUGUUGGAAACCUGGGUCCAGUGGCACGAAAAGUCGUUACUCCUGGAGACUUCCUCAGCUGCAUUGGAUGGCUGUGUUGUCUUUUGUGCUCCAACACGCCCUAAGCACUCCACAGUGCUUUGCUGCGUCGCCAUCUCAGCUAUUGAACCUUCUUGUUGGUUUCUUCCAUCUGUUCAGCCAAAGCAGUCUUCACAAGCUGGGAAGGAGCUGGAGGGCUCUGGAGUGAGUUCAGCUUUGGAAACUGAAUUGGAGGUCAGGAGUCAGAGCUGGCCGUCUGAAGGAGUUGGAGCUUGGACUAGUUGGACUGGCUGGGUCUCUGAACUUAAUUGGAGUUUUGCUUGGGACAAAAUCUUCUGGUGAGUAAUUAAAGACUGACUUAGUUUUCUCUCUUAAAGAGAAAGGCCUAGGUGAUUUGGCCUAGGCCCUAGCCCUUUCCUACUAUUUCCUCUUACUCUGUCUCUCUCCCUUCCCUUAAUUCCUUCAUUCGUAUUAAUUAAAAUAUCCAUAAUACCCAGCUGACUUGGGUAUUUCAUAUUUGGGAAUUUUUCCCAUGGCAACC